CUGGUUGAUUCUGCCAGUAGCAUAUGCUUUCCUCCUGGAGAUUAAGCCAUGCAAGUCUAAGUAUAAGUUAUAUACGGCGAAACUGCGAACGGCUCAUUAAAACAGUUAUAAUUUAUUUGAUGAUGUUUUUAUAUGGAUAACCAUUUUGGGAAACUAUGGCUAAUACAUGCUUACAGACCUUCGGGUUGUAUUUAUUAGUUUUUUCCGAUCUCUGAUCGUGAUGAGUCAUAAUAACUGAUCGAAGCGCACUUGUGUGUGCUAAAUCUUUCAAGUUUCUGCCCUAUCAGAUUGUUGGUAGUGUAUUGGACUACCAAGUCGAUCACGGGUAACGGAGAAUUAGGGUUCGAUUCCGGAGAGGGAGCCUGAGAAACGACUACCACAGCUACGGUAGGCAGCAGGUGCGUAAAUUACCCAAUCCAAACUCUGGAAGGUAGUUACAGGAAAUUUGUUGCAUAGGCUUCUAGCCUAGACACAAACGAACACAUGUAAGUAUUGUGUGUUUAAUUGGAGGGCAAGUUUUGGUGCCAGCAGCCGCGGUAAU
rnacentral:rRNA from 1 species